UUUUAGUUUAAAUAAUAAGCAUAUAAAUUGAACCUUCUAGGUGCUACCUUUUAAGCUCUGUUAGGUCAGUUAGCAAAGAACUUCAUAGAUAGGUAUUUAGGUAUAUCUAGGCAAAAUACUUUAUAAAUAGGUACACUUAUGUACUGACAAUCCUAUUCUACUGUUACUAGUUUAAAUAUUUAGUGUAUAAAUUGAACCUUCUAGGUACUACCUUUUGAUCUUUGACCUGAU